GCGGACUAAAGGAGCCUCCUCGGAAGACCAGCCCACAAGCAGCCGGCGAAGGCGGGAAAGGGGAAAGCCCUGUUUGAUAUUGCACAGCGCGCGCGUUCUACUCAGCCCCGGGCAGGCACCUCUCUAGCGGAGCCGGAUCAGCAAAGAAGCUCCUCUCCAUCAGCUCUUCCAGCAGCGCCUCAUCCAGCUCUUCUUUCUCCUGCGGCCCUGCUGCAUCCAUGCCGAAGGCGCCAGAGACAAGGAGGACGGCGCUGGUAACUGGUUCUGGGGCAGAGCCAAAGGGCUCCAGCAAGGACCAGCUCCCCGGACAAACUCCCGAGUCCCGAAUGCCGGGAAUCCCGCCCACGCCAAAGGCACACGCUCAUAGGCCGCCGGGGGUGGAGUUUCUCUCUCUCUGUGUGUCCGUUUUUCUCUUUCCUCCUUUGCGCGCGCUCUCUGAGCCUCUUGGGUGGGUGGGUGCUGCUGCGGUUGACGCGGGCGCUUUUUUCUAGAGGGUUCGUAGACUGAAGGUGUUGUAGAAUGCGGAGGCUGCUCUUUUAGCAAAAAAGAUGGUAAUUUCUCGAGAACGUCGUUUUGCCAGCGUUCAGGACAGUUAUGUACUGAGGGAAGCUGGUCUUGUGGUAGCAAAGCAUGACUUAGCCGCUAAGCAAGGUCCGCCCUGGUUGCAUUUGAAUGGGAGACCACAUGUGAGCACUGUAAGCUAUUCCCCUCGGGGAUGGCAUUGGAGCCUCUCAGGGAAGAGCAGAAAGUUCCAAGUUCCCUCUCUCUCUGUCUUCUCCAAGAUAGGACAAGAUUUUUUUGAUUUUUUUUAAUAGGACAAGAUUUUUUUAUUGAACCAACAAACUACCAAAGCAUACAAUAAAUACAGGUAUACCGUUUUAAGGGGGCAGUCGAAUUCAGUGUCAUCUUCUAUUCGGGCAAAUACGAUAGGGGCAGAUGUAGAAGGUUCAACAGCUGUGAAUAAUUGAGAGUGCUGUCAAGUUGGAGGAAGAGAGUUUGGUCUGUUUAUUCAAGUUGGCUUGAUAAAGACUAAGUGUCAGGCUUCGGCGGCAGCUUUACGAAUUGUUGCACUCAUUGGGUAAUUAUCUUUGAUGCUUAUAUAUGUAAUUUGUGUUAUUUUGUAUAAAAUGUUUUCUUUAAUGUGUGCUUUGUGCUUUGUAGCAACUCAAAGAGAGCCAGUGUGGUGUAGUGGUUAGAGUGCUGGAUUAGGACCAGGGAGACCUGAGUUCAAAUCUCCAUUCAGCCAUGAGACUUGCUGGGUGACUCUGGGCCAGUCACUUCUCUCUCAGCCUAACCUACUUCACAGGGUUGUUGUGAGGAGAAAUUCAAGUAUGUAGUACACUGCUCUGGGCUCCUUGCAGGAAGAGCGGGAUAUAAAAUGUAAAUUUAAAAAAAAAAUCUACAAGGACUUUUUCAAAUUCCCUUGGAAGAGCUUAAGAACUUUUGGAAAUAAAUUCACACUCCUUUUGAGGAAUUGGAGAAAUGCGUUUGGAGGAAGUAAUGAAGAAUUCCAUACACCAGAGAGAAGUGAUUUAUAUUUAGUAAGUGGAAGUUUAUCACGAUUGUAUUACAUAAUUGUUCAUUUACUUCUGAAGAAGCUUAUUGUGAAAUGAGGAUAUAUUGUGAAACCUUGUCAAAAAUGAAGUGAUAUUUGAUACGUAUACUGGUCACUAUUGUUUUUUGUAUUUGUUUACGCUUUAUUCAUUGGGUGGUAUUUUUUUCUUUGGAUACUGAAAAAGAUGGUUUUAAUGAGAAAUGGGUUAGGUUAAUCAAUUUAAGGAAGAAAAGAAUGAAAUAUCAGUUGCAUGCAAUGUUCUUGAAUGAUUAUUGUAAAUCCAAUAGAAUUCCAAGAGGCUUAAGAAUUCAAAAACCUCCAGCUUUAUUUGUUGAUAAUGAUGAAUUUCGUAGCAAACGGGCCUCCAUACUGAAUAAAUGUUCACUAGAUUUGUUAAUAAUAGAGAAAUCUAGGGAAGAAGUGGCAUCAAUUGACAACACAAUAGUUAAUAUGGUUAAUCAGUUGGAGGAAGAGAUGGUUAAGGAUGAUUUUGAUAUACAAAUUAAGGAUAUUUACACAGAAUUAAAACAGUAUAUGGAACAAUUAAAGGAACUAAAGAAGAAAAACUUUUCCAGGGAUGCUCAAGAUUAUUCUAAUGGGUAUGUUUAUAAAUGGACAGUUAGCAAUAGGAACAAUGGAAGAUCCCGACCAUACUGGAAAUCAGUGUCCUGGCAGGACCUAGUACAUCUCAGUACGAUUCCACUGAGGAAUUGGCAGCUACUUCAGGGGAUGAGUUUCGAGGAAGGGGUAGAUUAGAUAGAGCAGUGAAAAGAAGUACAACACAGGAUUUUCAGUGGCGUUCCCAAAGGGGAAGGAGAAAAAUUUAGUGAUUAACUUAUCAAAUAGACAUUUGUCUCAGGAACAUUUAGAAGUGCUUAAUUAUGGCAUAGGUUAUGUACCUAUGGCUAAAUAUGAGUCUUUUCAAAGUAGAAUUGAUAUAUUUAAACUGAUAAGAAUGGUUAAACUUUAAGCCUUUUUUUGGUAAUUCAGAGUCCUAGAGGUUCAAAUCUAAAUCUAAAUCUUUGAACAUUGUUCAAAUCUAAAUCUAAAUUUAGUCCCAAUACUGAUAAACCAUCUAUUAAUGUCUUUAGUCAGAUAGUUCUUAGAGAAGUAGCGCAAUUGGAAAGAGCACGGCAGGCAUCGUAUUAUAAUUUCACCAAGAAACAAUGGGGCCUUCUUAAAGAAUUGAUGGAAGAUAGAACAUUAAUUUUUAAAAUGGGGCUCUAGUAAUUAUGAAUGUAAAAGACUAUUUGCAGGAGGUUCAUAGGCUGUUGUCAGAUCGUGAAGCAUAUCUAUCGAUACCCCAUGAUCCAACAAACCAUAUUCAUAAUAUCAUUAAAAUAACUUUACAGGAGGAGUUUAAUAUGGGAUCUAUAGAUAUGAAUCUGUUUAGACAUUUACUAAAUGAUUAUCCUAGGGUGCCCGUUUUUUAUAUUCUGCCUAAAAUACAUAAGAUAGGUUUUCCUCCACCAGGAAGGCCCAUAAUAUCAUGGAAUAACUCGUUGCUUGAACCAUUAGCUCAAUAUCUGGAUAACCUACUUUGACCUUUUGUUAAACAGAUUCCUUCAUAUAUUAGAGAUACUACAGACUUUAUUAGUUUGGUUGAGAAUAAGUUAGUGCCAGCAGGUUCUAUACUUCUCACGAUGGAUGUCACAUCAUUAUAUACAAAUACACCUCAUGAUGAGGCUAGGUUAGUAGCAGAAGAUACAUUUGAUUCAAGACAUGUUAAAAAUUCUCCUACAUGGUUUUUGUUACAGUUAUUGGAUAUAAUUUUGGAGAAGAAUUACUUUAGAUUCAAUCAGCAAUUUUUAUGCAGAUUCAGGGUGUGGUGAUGGGUAGUCCUAUUGCCCCAUCUUUGGCUAAUCUCUUUAUGGGAAGAUUGGAUUGCCCCAUCUUUGGCUAAUCUCUUUAUGGGAAUAUCCUCCCUCCCCCUGCCGCACUUCACCCCCUUCCACAUCCACACCCACCUCAUCUUGGGACACUCAGGCCCUCAACAUGGGGGAACCACAAAAGUCCCAGUGUGCCUCUUCAGCCCUGCGGAAAGGACGAGGAGGCCAGCAUGACACAGGAAAGGCCUGGCUGUAGCAGCUUCUGCAACAAAUGCCCCCAGCAUAUAGGGCCUCUCCUCAGUGGUCACCAAAACCUGAGCCAUGGCACCUCUGCAGGGGUGCUCCCAGCCAGGCUGCCAGGUUCCUCCGCUCGCCCAGAGGCCCCCUCCCAGCAUGCCACUGCAGGGCUUGUGGCUGCCUCACAAUCUUUCCCCUCAUCUCCUCCCACUCACUCCACUUGUGAGAGCCACCGUGAAACCUGAUGGAAGAUGGGGCCACUUUCUGGCUGCCUCCAUCAUGGGCUAUAGUGGGGUGGUGGUGGCAGCAACCCUUAAAAUUUUGUGUUCUAAACAACCACCUAGGUUGCCUAUACAGACGGGCUAGUCCUGCACAUAGGACCCAUUCCAGAGAAAGUUAAGCACUGUAACCUAGGAAGAACCAUGAAACAUUGACACACCUAAACAAACAUGUAGCAUCAUAAAAAUAGUAACUUAAAAUAAUUUUUAUUCAAGCACAUGCCAAUUGACCAGGAAAACCAAUUGUAAAAACCUGUCCACCUAAGUAACUAGUCAAAUAAUGCAGCCAUGGCCAGUUGGAUAUAAUUGACAAUGGAAGAAAGUACUAGAAAUCUGCUUUUUUGUGUCAGUGGUUAGUGCUUGUAAUGGGAAGAAAGGGAGCAAGACAUUAAUUUUCUCCUUAUCAAUUUUCUCUAAGCCUUUGUACUAAUACCAGAAGCCCAGAACUAAAAAGCAAGAACUAGUUAUUUUCUUUUUUGUUCUCCAAGAAAAUAUAUGGGGGGGGGAGCCUGCCCACUCCCUGCAAGGCCUUUCCCCUUAUAGCCUAGUAGCAAUUUCCACAAUCAUAAUAGUACUUUCGCCAAUACAUAAAACUGUUGCUGGGCCAAUUUAUUUAUUAGAUAGUCAAAAACAUUGCUGGUUUAAGACGAGAGUUAAGGCUAUCUCAUUGUUUCUCAAGCUCUACGAAGCUAGAAAAUUGAAACCUAAGCCUUAAGUGAUGUGCCAUGUAAUCAGGAAUGAUAUUGUACAAUGUCACCACCAAUUGUGAUUGCUUCCAACUUCCCUCCAUGCACCAUGCGUCUCCUUGGACUUUGAGGCCCAACUAAAAAUGGGGACGAUGGAGUGCCUGGCACCAGUAAAGAUGGCCCACGGUGUCCGUGUGAGUACAUCAAAGGCAAGUUGGUGCAUCAAAGGCAAGCAAGCUUUAAGCCUGGUUUAAACCAGCAGGUUUUUUGUCUAUCUAAUUUCCAUAGUUUGUGGAGGAAAUUUAUUAUUACAGUAUUGGCAAUCCAGUACCCUCCCCAAUGUCACAUUUAGUGUUGAUUCUAAUGAACACUACGUAAUAUAAGUGAAUUCCUUUAUAUUUUAUAUAUUUCUGAAACAGUUGUAAGAUAUUCUGCAUUACAAUGGUGUAGUAGAACCAGUGUGGUGUAGUGGUUAGAGUGCUGAACUAGGACCAGGAAGACCUGAGUUCAAAUCCCCAUUCAGCCAUUAAACGCACUGGAUGACUUUAGGCACUUUCCUCUCAGCCUAACUUAUCUCACAGAGUUGUUGUGAGGAUAAACAUAACCAUGUACAUCGCUCUGAGCUCCUUGGAGGAAGAGUGGAAUAUAAAUGUAAAAAUCCUCUAUAAUAAAAGCCUUGGGUGUGAUCCCGUGUCUCUGUGCCUGUCUUUCUCGUUUUGAUUACUGUUCAUGACAUUUUGGGUAUAGGUUCUUUGUAAUGUUUCAGAAAAUAAAAACAGAUUAUAAAGAAAGUGGUCAAGCCACAAUUUUAUUUAAACUUCAUGUUUACAAUAGGUUGAAAUUAAAAUUGUAUACAUAUUUAAUUUCAACAGGACUGGUUUGAGUAAUUUUUGUCAUGUCAGCCAGUAUCUGUAAUCUGUGCCUAAGAGAGGAUCUCUUUGGAUUAUUUGGUUUACAUCCCUGACAAGAAGGGAAAUGAAUUUGGAGCAAAAUAAGGAGCUGAAGAGGGUUUUUAGUCAAGUGAUUUCCAAUAAAUCAUGGCAUUUUUAGUUUUAUUCUAUUUCUGCUUUAAGUUUAUGGAAAAGUUAAUACUUUUUCUGUUUUUAGAGUGGCACUCCAGGCUGACUUUGCACAUUUCAGCACUUUAGUGACAAUUAACCUGUCACCCACAAUCUCCAUUUCAGCUUCCUACAACCUCUGCCAGGUCUUAGGUCAGUUUUUCUCACAGUGUUAAUGCAUUAUUCUAAUAUUCUCUAACCUCACUCCCCUCAACCACCAAUUUUACAACUGAGUUCUUCAUGCCAAGAGGUUCUGGAGAAAUUGAUGGGGAUAGAAAGUGGCUCUACCCUGUGAGGGUCACCCUAUCUCCAGGUAUCUCUGCUGCCACCACUCAGACCUACUUUGGAAAAAUAUGAGAGCAAAAUCACACUUACCCCUCUUAUUUGUUGUUUUGCAGUGAGGUGCUUCACUUCUGGUGACAUGGGAGAGGAAAGAAAAUGUUCCUGCACCUUCUUAACACUGAAAAUAACUGGUUUUAUUUAACUUAAGUUUAUUCAGUUGUUGCACAGAUUCUUAAUGUGUAAUGGUUUCACGUAUUAAUUGUAAGUACGCAUACUGAUUUCAGGGGUUAUGCAUAAACUUAACUUAAAGCAGUGCUGAUGUUUUAACAUGAUAAAUAGUUAUGGUUCAUUCCUUGUGUCUUUUUAGCCUACUUUCCAGUAGGUUUAUGAGAUCACCUGGCAUUGUGUGUCUGUGUAUCCCCACCCCCAUCAACUUCACAAUACCUGGACCAGUAUGAACCAAAUCAGGUACAGUUGUAGGGACACAAUUGUGGCUGCCCCAGGACUUUAGAAUGCACUCUCUGUCAAAAUAAGAGCUUCUCCAUCUCUGGUUACUUUUAAAAAGACCUUUAAGGCACACCUGUUUUCUCAGGCUUUUAAUUAAAAUUAAUUUUCAACUAUU